AUUGAACGCUGGCGGCAUGCCUUACACAUGCAAGUCGAACGGUAACAGGUCUUCGGAUGCUGACGAGUGGCGAACGGGGGAGUAAUACAUCGGAACGUGCCCAGACGUGGGGGGUAACGAGGCGAAAGCUUUGCUAAUACCGCAUACGAUCUAAGGAUGAAGGCAGGGGACCGCAAGGCCUUGCGCGGCUGGAGCGGCCGAUGGCAGAUUAGGUAGUUGGUGGGAUAAAAGCUUACCAAGCGGACGAUCUGUAGCUGGUCUGAGAGGACGACCAGCCACACUGGGACUGAGACACGGCCCAGACUCCUACGGGAGGCAGCAGUGGGGAAUUUUGCACAAAGGGCGAAAGCCUGAUCCAGCAAUGCCGCGUGCAGGAUGAAGGCCUUCGGGUUGUAAACUGCUUUUGUACGGAACGAAAAGGCUCUGGCUAAUACCUGGGGCACAUGACGGUACCGGAAGAAUAAGCACCGGCUAACUACGUG
rnacentral:rRNA from 1 species